rnacentral:rRNA from 1 species
GUUCAAUGUACCCAAAGCAUUGGAUGGAUGCCCGGGCAUUGAGAUGGAAGGACGCUUGAAGAGGCAAAAGGCCAUGGGGAGAUACCAUCUGUGAUCGAUGGAUCUCCGAUCUAGAAACAGUAUCCAAGCUCCGUGGCUAGUCUGCGCUCUUUAGACUUUGAAAACUUAGCGAACUGAAACAUCUGACUAGUUAAAGGAAGGGAAAUCAAUCGACACCCCGUUUGUAGCGACGAGCGAGAGCGGAUUGGAGCUUUGAAGAAAAAGAAACACAAAGCUUACCACGAAGCUUUGCGCUAGCGAAGCAAAGCAAUUCAAUCUUCUUUCAUCCGCGAAGCGAAAAGAAGAAAAGGUGCGGAGCCGCUUAGCCUCAUUCCUCUUGCUUCGCUCAUUGCUUGCUCAGUGAUUACACACUUCGCUUCCUUUCCUAUUAGGCUCGUUUCAUAGAAUUGCACUCAUUUAAAUGUAACUCGUUCUCGAUCGGCUUAACAAACUAGUUUUUGUUGGCUCCUAUUAAGCUCGCGUAACUCGUUCUCGUUGGUUUCAUUUGAUUUGUUGUGGAAUGGAUGAUAGAAAAACCUUUGGUCCGGGAAUUGUGAAAAGGUUGGAAGAUCUGGCCAAAGAAGGUGAUAACCUUGUAGAUUCGUUCCCAUGGUUUAAUCCUUCCCAGUAAAACACGGCGUGUUCGAAUUCUGAUCGCUUUUCCACGAGAAAGGGGGACCACCCUCUAAGCCUAAGUCUUCCUUAGUGACCGAUAGCGUACAAGUACCGUGAGGAAAGGUGAAAAGAACCCUUUUUAGGGAGUGCAAUAGAGAACCUGAGAUCCGAUGCCAACAAUCAGUCGAAGGAGCGGAGUGUAGAGCCAAACGGGCGCAGUCACUCUAAUGGCGUACCUUUUGCAUGAUGGGUCAACGAGGAAAUGGGAACAACGGCUUAAGCCAUUAGGUGUAGGCGCUUCUAGAGGUUGAAUCUUCUAGUUGUUCCAAUUUGACCCAAAACGGAUCAAUCUAGCCAUGAGCAGGUUGAAGAGAGCUCUAACAGGCCUUGGAGGAUCAAACCCACGUAUGUGGCAAAUUAUGGGGAUGACCUAGGGCUAGGGGUGAAAGGCCAACCAAGAUCGGAUAUAGCUGGUUUUCUACAAAAUAUAUUUCAGUAGAGCGUAUGAUGUUGAUGGCCCGAGGUAGAGCACUCAAUGGGCUAGGGUGGCCCCCAAAAAGCUUGACCAACCCCAGGGAAACUCUGAAGAUAGGCCUAGAUCGUUUGUACAGACAGACUCUUUGGGUGCUAAGAUCCAAAAUCGAGAGGGAAACAACCCAGAUCGUACACUAAGGUCCCUAAGCAAUCACUUAGUGGAAAAGGAAGUGAUCGAGCGAUGACAAUCAGGAGGUGGGCUUGGAAGCAGCCAUCCUUUAAAGAAAGUGUAAUAGCUCAUUAGUCUAGCUCCAUGGCACCAAAAAUGUAUCAGAGCUCAACUGAUUCACCGAAGCGACGAGACCUUGAAGGCAUUUUCAAGUGUCAGUAGCAGAACGUUCUGUUAAUCGGGGAAGGUUUUUGGUGACAACACCUGGAGAUAUUAGAAGUGAGAAUGUUGACUUGAGUAACGAGAAAUCCUAUGAAAAACAUGAUCGCCUGUUAGUUCAAGGCUUUCUGCGUUCAGUCAAUCUAUGCAGAGCGAAUCGGUCCCUAAGGAAGCCUCAAAAGGGCUGCCGUCCGAUGGGUACAUGAGAGUGAUGAAGUUGCUUUGACUCCUAAACCAUGCCUAUCUAUUGGAGCAAAUUGGAUGAUUGGGCCGAGGGCUGCCCCCUCUUCCCCUCGCUCUCCUUUCCCUAAGAUGAACCUUGAGUCAGAAAAGCCUUCUUGACUUGGACGUGCCUGGACCCUUAAGCUACUGACACUUCAAAAGGUGCAACGCUCAUCAUAGUUUGACGGCCUAACAACAAAGAAGUCAGUUGUUCAAGUAGUGGCAUGGCAAGCAAGGAGCAAAGCCAGUGGUAGUAAUGUCAAAUCAAUUAUUGUUGAGGUGGGUUUGCUUUUAGAAAAAGCGAUUGUUGAAGAAACGAAGAAAACUACACCAAGCAACCAAGUAAUGGGAGAGUGCGCUAGCACAUCCGUUUUCUUGCUGCGCGCUAGCGUAAAGCCGUUGCACGGUAGUGCAUAUGUUUUCUUACUGGGAAAAAAACAAACCAACGGAUGCAAGCAAGAAAACUGAUUCACGAUAGGUUAGCACCCUUGCUUCUUGCAAGAAAAUGGAUGCGCUAGCGGCGCGACGCGUUAGCGCCCUUGCUUCUUGCUUUCGAGCCUACGCUUGUUCGCUUUUUUCUCUUGCAAAGCACUCGCUCAUUAGAGCGAGUGCUUUGAUGUUGCUUCACACUCGGUCUUAGCUUUUGGGCAAAAGCAAAAAGGGAUCUUGUCUACUUGGGCUUUGACAAGACUUAGCUAACCUAACGACUGAACUCAUGCAGCAAAAAGGGCUCUUUACUACAUACUUGGUUUGGUUGGGCUUUGACGUUGCGCUAACGACUGAAUUCGUUGGGGCUUUGCUCGUUGCAUCAAACCAGCACUCUAUUGGGUAGCAGCAAAAAGCCCUCAAGAGGGCUUUGACAAGACUUAGCUAAUGACUGAGCUCACUGGGACUCGUUGGCUACAAAGCAAAUCGCUUAUGAGGGCUUUACAAAAAGAAAAGCUCUUGUUUGAGAGUGCCCAGCAAAGCACUCAUAAGCGAUUUGCUUUUUGACAGCAAAGCGCCCUGCCAAUAGUUUGACCUUGCUACGUGGAGUAGACUGAACGAGCUAGGCAGACACUUUUGAGUCAUCCAAAGGCGAACACGGGCGAAGACUCGGCCCAACGAGUGCUCUUUCUUAUAGGUGAGCUUUGGCUCCACGCACCUGUUGACACCUUUAUGAGCACUUUCUAGUGUGAACCCUUCGGUCGCCUUUCUCAUUUCAGUGCUCGCCUUUUGAAUCUUCAGGAGGGGCCUUUAGUCUUAGAAUAGGGGUCGUGAGAGAGCAGAGCGUACCGCCCUGUCAUAGUCGCGAGUCUGUUUAUUGUCACGACUGUUGUCAUAGUUAUAAAGGCUUUCAACUUCUAGGAAAAAAUUCUAAUUGGGAGUACGAUCCUCCCGGUGAACUGACCUUAUCCCAAACAGACACAGGUGAACAAGUUGAGUAUACUAGGACGCUUGAGAGAACCAUGUCGAAGGAACUCGAAAAAAUGACCCCGUAACUUCGGGAUAAGGGGUGCUCUCCUAUCUUUUGAUUAGGAGAGCAGCACAUACCAGGAGGUAGCGACUGUUUAUUAAAAACACAUAACUCUGCUAAGAGGUAACACGAUGUAUAAAGUCUGAUACCUGCUCGAUGCUGGAAGGUUGGAAGGAGAAGUCUUAUAAGCUUUGAAUGGAAGCCCCAAUAAAUGGUGGCAAUAACUCUUACUGUCCUAAGGUAGCAAAAUUCCUUGUCGCUUAAGUAGCGACCUGCACGAAUGGUGUAACGACUACCCCACUGUGUCCGACAUCGACCCGGUGAAAUUGAAUUCUCUGCAAAGAUGUGGAGUACCAAUGGCUAGGCGAUAAGACCCCGUGCACCUUGACUAUAACUUCAUAGUGACAACCUUGAUCGAAUGUGUUGGAUAGGUGGGAGGUGGUGACACAGAUCUCCCAAUCCUGAAAGACCACUCUUUCAUUUAAGGAUACCUAACUGCCACACUGAUCAUUAGUGGGGGGGGGGGGGGGACUCUGUGAGGUGGGUAGUUUAUCUAGGGCGGAUGACACCUAAAGAGUAACGGAGGUGUGUGAAGGUAGGCUCAAGCUAAGAUUAUGCUCGUGAGCGUAAUGGUAUAAGCCUGCCUGCCUGUAAGAACGACUGGUAGAACAAAGACAAAAGCUGGCCAUAGUGAUCUGGGAGUCUCAUGUGGAAGGGCUCCCGCUCAACGGAUCAAAGGUACGUCGGGGAUAAUAGGCUGAGGACUCCUAAGAGCUCUUAUCGACAGAGUCGUUUGACACCUCGAUGUUGACUCAUCACAUCCUGGGGUUGAAGAAGGUCCCAAGGGUUUGGUUGUUCGCCGAUUAAAGUGGUACGUGAGUUGGGUUUAGAAUGUCGUGAGAUAGUUCGGUUCCUAUCUACCAUUGGUGUUAAAGGGAGAACUGCGAGGAGCCACGAGAGGACUUGGUUGGGCCAACCUAUGGUGUACCAAUUGUUAUGCCAAUAGCAGUGCCGGGCAGCUAAGUUGGUAUGGAAGAACUGCUGCGCCGCAUCUGAGCUGACUAUAGACUCACUCUCAAAGCAACGAGAGGAGUUUACGUUAGUUUAGUCACUCGCUGUCUUAAACAUUGGAAAUCCUUCUCCAUACAAGUUCUCGUAUGAGGUUUUUUAACAGAACUUCGAUAAGCGAGAGGUGUAAGCGUCGCGAGGUGUGAAGCAAUCUCGUACUAAACGAAUCUACUUUCUCUU